rnacentral:rRNA from 1 species
AGUGAACGCUGGCGGUAGGCCUAACACAUGCAAGUCGAACGGCAGCACAGUAAGAUCUUGCUCUUACGGGUGGCGAGUGGCGGACGGGUGAGGAAUACAUCGGAAUCUACUUUUUCGUGGGGGAUAACGUAGGGAAACUUACGCUAAUACCGCAUACGACCUACGGGUGAAAGCAGGGGAUCUUCGGACCUUGCGCGAUUGAAUGAGCCGAUGUCGGAUUAGCUAGUUGGCGGGGUAAAGGCCCACCAAGGCGACGAUCCGUAGCUGGUCUGAGAGGAUGAUCAGCCACACUGGAACGUGGACACGGUCCAGAGUCCUACGGGAGGCAGCAGUGGGGAAUAUUGGACAAUGGGCGCAAGCCUGAUCCAGCCAUACCGCGUGGGUGAAGAAGGCCUUCGGGUUGUAAAGCCCUUUUGUUGGGAAAGAAAAGCAGCAGGUUAAUACCCCGCUGUUCUGACGGUACCCAAAGAAUAAGCACCGGCUAACUUCGUG